rnacentral:rRNA from 1 species
UGAGGAAUAUUGCGCAAUGGGGGAAACCCUGACGCAGCGAUGCCGCGUGAGUGAAGAAGGCCUUCGGGUCGUAAAGCUCUGUCAAACGGGAAGAACAGUCUGGGGACGAAUAAUCUCCGGGCCUGACGGUACCGUUGAAGGAAGCACCGGCUAACUCCGUGCCAGCAGCCGCGGUAAGACGGAGGGUGCGAGCGUUAUUCGGAUUUAUUGGGCGUAAAGAGUGUGUAGGCGGUCGAUCAAGUCUGAUGUGAAAGCCCGGGGCUUAACCUCGGAAGGGCGUUGGAAACUGGUCGACUUGAGUUCGGGAGAGGAAAGCGGAAUUCCGGGUGUAGAGGUGAAAUUCGUAGAUAUCCGGAGGAACACCGGUGGCGAAGGCGGCUUUCUGGACCGAAACUGACGCUGAGACACGAAAGCGUGGGGAGCAAACAGG